UUUUGAGAUAACUACCCAACCUUUUAAAAUUUUAAUUUUAGUAUCCAAUCUUUCAAUUUUUUGAUUUGAGUUAGUUAAUGAUAUUUUUACUUCAUAAUUUAAGCUAAUUAGGUUUCGUUUGGAAUUGCGAAAGAAUUGCGUUACGUGCAGUAAGAAAAUGCGAUAAAAAAAUAUCAUGUUUGUUUCCGUACGUAAUAUUGUA
rnacentral:lncRNA from 1 species